rnacentral:rRNA from 1 species
GAUGAACGCUGGCGGCGUGCCUAAUACAUGCAAGUCGAGCGAACGGACGAGAAGCUUGCUUCUCUGAUGUUAGCGGCGGACGGGCGAGUAACACGUGGAUAACCUACCUAUAAGACUGGGAUAACUUCGGGAAACCGGAGCUAAUACUGGAUAAUAUUUUGAACCGCAUGGUUCAAAAGUAAAAGACGGUCUUGCUGUCACUUAUAGAUGGAUCCGCGCUGCAUUAGCUAGUUGGUAAGGUAACGGCUUACCAAGGCAACGAUGUAUAGCCGACCUGAGAGGGUGAUCGGCCACACUGGAACUGAGACACGGUCCAGACUCCUACGGGAGGCAGCAGUGGGGAAUCUUCCGCAAUGGGCGAAAGCCUGACGGAGCAACGCCGCGUGAGUGAUGAAGGUCUUCGGAUCGUAAAACUCUGUUAUUAGGGAAGAACAUAUGUGUAAGUAACUGUGCACAUCUUGACGGUACCUAAUCAGAAAGCCACGGCUAACUACGUG